GACGAACGCUGGCGGCGUGCCUAAUACAUGCAAGUAGAACGCUGAAGGAGGAGCUUGCUUCUCUGGAUGAGUUGCGAACGGGUGAGUAACGCGUAGGUAACCUGCCUGGUAGCGGGGGAUAACUAUUGGAAACGAUAGCUAAUACCGCAUAAUAGUAGAUGUUGCAUGACAUUUGCUUAAAAGGUGCAAUUGCAUCUCUACCAGAUGGACCUGCGUUGUAUUAGCUAGUUGGUGAGGUAACGGCUCACCAAGGCGACGAUACAUAGCCGACCUGAGAGGGUGAUCGGCCACACUGGGACUGGGACACGGCCCAGACUCCUACGGGAGGCAGCAGUAGGGAAUCUUCGGCAAUGGACGGAAGUCUGACCGAGCAACGCCGCGUGAGUGAAGAAGGGUGUCGGAUCGUAAAGCUCUGUUGUAAGAGAAGAACGAGUGUGAGAGUGGAAAGUUCACACUGUGACGGUAUCUUACCAGAAAGGGACGGCUAACUACGUG
rnacentral:rRNA from 1 species